GUGCUUGAUGCAGCGUCACAUAUACUAAAAUUGGAGCAAUACAGAGGUUAGCAUGGCCCCUGUGUAAAGGUAACACACAAAUUCAUGAAGCAUUCUAAAUUUUU